rnacentral:rRNA from 1 species
GUAACACGUAGUCAACAUGCCCAGGGGACGUGGAUAACCUCGGGAAACUGAGGAUAAACCGCGAUAGGUCACUACUUCUGGAAUGGGUAAUGACUCAAACCUAUAUGGCCCCUGGAUUGGACUGCGGCCGAUCAGGCUGUUGGUGAGGUAAUGGCCCACCAAACCUGUAACCGGUACGGGCUCUGAGAGGAGGAGCCCGGAGAUGGGCACUGAGACAAGGGCCCAGGCCCUAUGGGGCGCAGCAGGCGCGAAACCUCUGCAAUAGGCGAAAGCCUGACAGGGUUACUCUGAGUGAUCUCCGUUAAGGAGAUCUUUUGGCACCUCUAAAAAUGGUGCAGAAUAAGGGGUGGGCAAGUCUGGUGUCAGCCGCCGCGGUAAUACCAGCACCCCGAGUGGUCGGGACGUUUAUUGGGCCUAAAGCAUCCGUAGCCGGUUCUACAAAUCUUCCGUUAAAUCCAACUGCUUAACAGAUGGGCUGCGGAAGAUACUAUGGAACU